rnacentral:rRNA from 1 species
AAAGCAGUCGGUGGAUGCCUUGGAUGUAUUAGCCGAAGAAGGACGUGCCAGGCCACGAUAGGCGUCGGGGAGCUGCCAAGAAGCUGUGAUCCGGCGGUGUCCGAAUGGCAAAACCUCCUCAUUAGUAAUAGUGGGGGCCCAGACAACGCAAGCUUGUCGGGGGGGGAACCCGGGGAACUGAAAUAUCUAAGUACCCGGAGGAAAAGAAAUUAAAUAAGAUGCCGUCAGUAGCGACGAGCGAAAGCGGUCUAGUCCAAACUCCGACAUUACGUCGGAGGGUUGUAGGGCUCCAAUAUGGGACUACGAGAGAUAGUCGAACAACUCGGAAUAGUUGGCCAAAGAAAGUGAAAGCCUUGUAGAUGAAAUUUUGAGUAGCUCUAGGAGAUUCCUGAGUACCACGAGAGACGGCAAACUCUUGUGGGAAGCCGGGGCGACCACGCUCCAAGACUAAAUACUAAUACAUACCGAUAGUGAACAAGUACCGUGAGGGAAAGGUGAAAAGAAGGGUCGAUGACCCAGUGAAAUAGUACCUGAAACCGAUUGCUAACAAACAGUGGGAGGGCCGACGUAAGUCGAGCCUGACCGCGUGCCUAUUGAAGAAUGAGCCGGCGAGUCUUUGCUGGUGGCAAGGUUAAGUCGCUUGAAGCGACGGAGCCAUAGUGAAAGCGAGCCUGAAUAGGGCGAUUAGUUGCCAGCAGAGGACCCGAAGCCGAGCGAUCUAUUCAUGAGCAGGGUGAACCUCGAGUGAUAUCGGGGGGAAGCCCGAACCUGUGUAUGUUGCAAAAUGCUAGGAUGACUUGUGAAUAGAGGUAAUAUGCCAAACGAGCUCGGAGAUAGCUGGUUCUCCCCGAAAUAUAUUUAGGUAUAGCCUUUCCUUAUUUAGGCGCAGGGGUAAAGCACUGGAUGGGCAUUAGGGACUUGUCUCUGAUGCUCAACCAAACUCUGAAUACUGCGUUGAUAACGGAAGGAGUCAGUUGCUGGGGGCUAAGCUCCAGCCGCAAAAGGGAAACAACCCAGAUCUCCAGCUAAGGUCUCUAAAUCACUUGCUUAGUUUGUAAGGAGGUCGUAGUCCUUAGACAGCCAGGAAGUCGGCUUAGAAGCAGCCAUCUUUGAAAGAAAGCGUAACAGCUCACUGGUUGACGGAAGACGGCGCCGAAAAUUUAUCGAGGAUAAAGCAGUGUACCGAAGCUGAGACCCCGACAGCGCAAGCUUGUCGGGGGGUAGGGGAGCGUUCUAAGGGCAGUGAAGGGCCGAUGUAAAUCGCGCCUGGAGCGCUUAGAAGUGAGAAUGCCGGCAUGAGUAGCGGAACUCCGGUGAGAAUCCGGAGGGUCGAAAGUCCGAGGUUUCCUACGCAACGUUCGUCGGCGUAGGGUUAGUCGGGCCUAAGGCAAGCCCCGUGUAGUGCGGGGGUAGUCGAUGGACAACAGGUUAAUAUUCCUGUACCGGUGACCAAUCGUUAUUCCCGACGCAAGUCGGGAUAAACAGCUGGGGUGGGACGGAAUUUGAGAAGUCGAGCGUCUUAUUGAUUUGACGUCUAAAAGGCGAGUCAGUCCCGAUGUGAAAAUCAGUCGGGACGACGGCGAGUCUUGAUGGAGAGUUCUCCUUUGGGAGAGCAAUUCGACCGGCUUAAGUUUCCGAGAAAAGCAUCGCAGCGAGAAGGGUCACCGCCCGUACCGCAAACCGACACAGGUGGACAAGUCGAGUAGACUAAGAUCAGCGGAAGAACGGUGGUUAAGGAACUCGGCAAAUUAGCUGGGAGUAAUUUUGAGAGAUUCCCUGUCCGACGUUACGUCGGACCGCAGCGAAAGAGUGCCAAGCGACUGUUUAACAAAAACACAGGUCUAUGCAAAGGCGCAAGCCUAGGUAUAUGGGCUGAAACCUGCCCAAUGCCGGAAGGUUAAUUGAGAGGGUGACGUCCGACUUCGGUCGUGACCGAGCCUUCGAUCGAAGCCCCGGUGAAUGGCGGCUUUAACUAUAAGAGUCCAAAGGUAGAAUCGCUGCCUUUGUAAAAUUUUGCUAUAUGCUGGAAACUCCGAGAAUCUUGAACUACUGCCUGUUUAUGUGUAAUACUACACAUAAUGGGAAGUAAAAAAGUUACAAGUGCGGACAAUCAGCAGGAAAGGCUAAAAACGAUUGGUUGGAUAGUUGGUUUCACAGAUGGUGAUGGUUGUUUUUGUAUUUCGAUAAACAAAAACCACAGAUUAAAACUUGGUUGGCAAGUGGUUCCUGAGUUUGUAAUAACUCAAGGAGAGAAAAGCCUAGAGAGCUUAAAACUUGUUAAAAAGUUUUUUAAAUGUGGAAGAAUCUUUAUUAAUCGAAGACAUGACAACCAUAAGGAAGACCUUCAUAGAUAUUGCGUGAGAAGUAUAGCUGACUUAGAAGAAAAGAUAAUUCCUUUCUUUGAGAAAAAUCAGUUAAAAACCUACAAAAGAAAAUCAUUUGAGACUUGGAGUAAAGCAGUGAAGUUGAUGAUAAACAAAAGACUUCAUUUA